CCCUUAGAUGUUCUGGGCCGCACGCGUGCUACACUGAGUGGAUCAGCGGGUCAGGUUGCGCGAAAGUGUUUCCUAAUCUUUAAAUCCGCUCGUGAUGGGGAUUGACGGUUGCAAUUUUCCGUCAUGAACGAGGAAUACCUUGUAAGCGCGGGUCAUCAUCCCGCGCUGAAUACGUCCCUGCCCUUUGUACACACCGCCCGUCGCUCCUACCGAUUGAGUGGUCCGGUGAGGCUUUGGGAUCUGAGCGGAAAGAGCGUUUCGCUGUUUCUGCCCGGAAAACUCAGUCGAACCUUCUCAUUUAGAGGAAGGAGAAGUCGUAACA
rnacentral:rRNA from 1 species